UGCAGAGUUCUCGGAGUCACGAGCAUAUCAAUAAGCGGAGGAAAAGAAACCAACAGGGAUUGCCCCAGUAGCGGCGAGUGAAGCGGCAAAAGCUCAGAUUUGGAAUCGCUUCGGCGAGUUGUGAAUUGCAGGUUGGCGCCUCUGCGGCGGCGGCGGUCCAAGUCCCUUGGAACAGGGCGCCAUUGAGGGUGAGAGCCCCGUGGGACCGUUUGCCUACGCUCUGAGGCCCUUCUGACGAGUCGAGUUGUUUGGGAAUGCAGCUCUAAGCGGGUGGUAAAUUCCAUCUAAGGCUAAAUACUGGCGAGAGACCGAUAGCGAACAAGUACUGUGAAGGAAAGAUGAAAAGCACUUUGAAAAGAGAGUGAAACAGCACGUGAAAUUGUUGAAAGGGAAGGGUAUUGCGCCCGACAUGGAGCGUGCGCACCGCUGCCCCUCGUGGGCGGCGCUCUGGGCGUGCUCUGGGCCAGCAUCGGUUUUUGCCGCGGGAAAAGGGCGGCGGGCAUGUAGCUCUUCGGAGUGUUAUAGCCUGCCGCCGGCGCCGCGAGCGGGGACCGAGGACUGCGACUUUUGUCUCGGAUGCUGGCACAACGGCGCAACACCGCCCGUC
rnacentral:rRNA from 1 species